CUUCACUCUGCCCAAGCUGACCCCGACUCUUAACUCCUUGGAGGAUCUUGUACAGUCAGACCUUGCCUGGGGCAUCCAGGUAGGAAUAAAAUGUCAUUGUAGUGCCUUGUGUAUUUACAUUAUAUUUAGAGGUCAUCGCAAAGCUCUAUGUGGCUCAUUAUGUAUGGUCAAUAAAUGAAAAUAAAUAUUUUCGGAACAUUGUACAUGAACACAUUUGAAACUCCCAGAGUAUGCACAACAUACAUUGGACAAGUAAUAUAAAUAA